rnacentral:rRNA from 1 species
GACGAACGCUGGCGGCGUGCUUAACACAUGCAAGUCGAACGAGAAGAGAUGAGAAGCUUGCUUCUUAUCAAUUCGAGUGGCAAACGGGUGAGUAACGCGUAAGCAACCUGCCCUUCAGAUGGGGACAACAGCUGGAAACGGCUGCUAAUACCGAAUACGUUCUCUUUGUCGCAUGGCAGAGGGAAGAAAGGGAGGCUCUUCGGAGCUUUCGCUGAAGGAGGGGCUUGCGUCUGAUUAGCUAGUUGGAGGGUAACGGCCCACCAAGGCGACGAUCAGUAGCCGGUCUGAGAGGAUGAACGGCCACAUUGGGACUGAGACACGGCCCAGACUCCUACGGAGGCAGCAGUGGGGAAUCUUCCGCAAUGGACGAAAGUCUGACGGAGCAACGCCGCGUGAACGAUGACGGCCUCGGUGUAAGGUUACUGUUAUACGGACGAAUAGGCGUAGCGGUCGAAUA